ACGAACGCUGGCGGCUGCUUAACACAUGCAAGUCGAACGGAGUGGCGAACGGGUGAGUAACGCGUGAGCAACCUGCCUAUGACAGUGGGAUAGCCUCGGGAAACCGGGAUUAAUACCGCAUAGUCAUAGAUGGGCUCGGGUAUGAUUAGCUAGUUGGGGAGCAAACAGCUCACCAAGGCGACGAUCAGUAGCAGGUCUGUGAGGAUGAGCUGCGACAGUGGGACUGUGUCACGGUCCAAACCACUACGGGAGGCAGCAGUGGGGAAUAUUGCACAAUGGGGCAAUCACUGAUGAAGCGACGCCGCGUGAACGAAGAAGGUAUUCGUAUCGUAAAGUUCUGUCCUAUGGGAAGCAGUACCAUAGAAGAAAGCUCCGGCUAAAUACGUGCCAGCAGCCGCGGGAAUUC
rnacentral:rRNA from 1 species